rnacentral:lncRNA from 1 species
GCGUCGGUCCCGGGGUGCGGUGUUUGCAAGAGCCUGUGUGUGUGUGUCAUGCCUUUGCUUUGCGUCCUCGUCCUCUGUCUGGGCGCCUUUGGCGGCCGGGCCGGGCCGGGCCGGGCCGGGCCGGAGAGGGUGUUCCCUCCGGGAGACGGAAUGUAUCAGGCGGCGGAGGAGCACCUACCUGUGUGUGUUUUCGUCCUGCGGGAAGCCAGCAGAGGACAGGUGGCCUUCAGGAGUUAGGAGCGCUUGAAGGCGCACGGAAAUCUCACUUCAGGCCCUGGGCUUGUCACACGUGGGUCUGCUAAAAGGUCAGAGUGAUGCAGAAUGCGUGCCUUCAUCUCAGAUUUUGUUCAUCGCAGGUGGAUCCCCUGUGUCUUCAGUAGACAAGUCACCUUUGUAGCACCAGUGCCAGCUCCAUGCCAUUGCACCUUCUUUAGUCUUGAUUGCCCUUCCCGCAUUUAUUGGUGUAUUAAAAUGACUGAAUAUGAACAUUAAGGACGCCAUGAACCUGGGCUAAUGGGAGACUGUAGAGAAAAUGAAAAAAGAUCCACCGGAGGACAUCUUUGGGGGGGAGGGAGCUUGGGAGGAGGGAGAUGACUAAUGAAGCUAAUUAAAAGAAGCAUUCAAAUCUGCUUUCUACCCUCAUUAACAAUUAGCAGGGCACUGGCCAGAGUUGGCACCCUGCGUUUUACCUUUCCAACAUUCUCUUUGCUCUUUGUAUAUUUAAGUGUCGUAAGGAAAUGUGUUUCAAUCAAAACUGAACAUGAGAUAAAGGAAAGAUGUGGCUUUUGUGAUAUUCUAUCACAAACACUUUUAUUGUAUCUCUCUGUAAAAUACAAUGUAUGUAUAUGCAUGUAAGUGUUUUUGUCCUGAUGUUGCUACUCCCAUGGCAAAGGAAAAAAAAAGAAUGAAAAAAAGAAAAAAAAA